AUGUUUAAUCAAAUGAAUAUUAUAUAUUGGUUGGAUUGUUUUUUCAGAGUUUAUCAGGUCACCUUGCAGCCUUCUCUUCUCCAUGCUGCACUCCUUGGAUUCCCACCCAUGAAAACUGGAAGUUUGGAGAGAUGUGUGAGUGCUCCGGUGAGAUUCCUGGAGAAUGUUAGGAUACCUUUGCAGCAUGCCGUGCAACCUGCAAGCAGCAGGGCUAUUUCUACUGGAACUUUAUUGGUGAAUGCCAUGCAGCCUGGAAACUUCUGGGGAAGGAAUUUCUUCAGGCCUUGACUCAGUCUCUGUCAACCCUGAACAUACGUAAAAUCGGUGGAAAACACAUUUUGGCGUAUAAUACUAACAGUGAAAGCACUCUUACAAAAUAACUGUCUUUAAAACCACAGAUAUUCUAAAGUUUCUUGUUGCCAAUCGUGGAAGAUUUUUCUAAUGUGUGCAGUAGUGAUAAAUGAGACUGUGAUCUGCUCUAACGAGGGUUCUGAUCUAAAGUGCUGUGAAUGCCUCAAUGCACAUUUCUUUUACUUUGCAAAAAAAAAAAAAAAAACCACCAAAAAACCAAAACAAAAAAACCAAAAAAUAAAACCCAGAAGCAAUGAACUAAAUUGUUGUAC
rnacentral:lncRNA from 1 species